CUGAUGCAGCACGCCGCGUGAGGGACGAAGGCCUUCGGGUUGUAAACCUCUUUUAGCAGGGAAGAAGCGAAAGUGACGGUACCUGCAGAAAAAGCACCGGCUAACUACGUGCCAGCAGCCGCGGUAAUACGUAGGGUGCAAGCGUUGUCCGGAAUUAUUGGGCGUAAAGAGCUCGUAGGCGGUUUGUCGCGUCUGCUGUGAAAUCUGGAAGCUCAACUUCUGGCCUGCAGUGGGUACGGGCAAACUAGAGUGCGGUAGGGGAGAACGGAAUUCCUGGUGUAGCGGUGGAAUGCGCAGAUAUCAGGAGGAACACCGAUGGCGAAGGCAGUUCUCUGGGCCGUUACUGACGCUGAGGAGCGAAAGCGUGGGGAGCGAACAGGAUUAGAUACCCUGGUAGUCCACGCCGUAAACGGUGGGUGCUAGCUGUGGGCCACAUUCCACGUGGUCCGUGACGAAGUUAACACAUUAAGCACCCCGCCUGGGGAGUACGGCCGCAAGGCUAAAACUCAA
rnacentral:rRNA from 1 species